CUCCAUGUCUUCUGAGAUGGCUCCACUCCACUGGGCCCAAAGGUGAGACUGAGGCAGGGAUGCAACUUUAUAAGCCCAGAGGGAAAAUAAAGAUGAGGUUUUAAAAUGGUCUUUAAAUCGGCACAUGUCCAUGUGUGAAGAGAUUCUGAUUUGGAGCAUGGCGGCCAACCAUCAUGCAAACAUGAGCAGUUUAAAAUAGUUGUUUAAGAUGGGAUGAACUCAUAAACUUGUGUAGGAGCUGAUUAUUGAAGGAGGUCAAGGUUUUUAGGUAUGAGUCUUAAAUGGUUUUAUGGUUGUGUAUUUCUCUGUGUGUUUACCAGGAGCUGAAAUUGCACUGGAUCAAGACAAACUAAGGCAGAACUCAUGACUGCCCAACACAUAGAGCCUGUAAGUAAAGACAAUGCUUCACUCCAUGGAUAGACCAUCAGCGAGGGACACUGGAGGUCAGUUUGCUGCUGGUUUGCUUUUGGCUUGCUGCUGGUUUGACAACAACCACACCAACAUACACCACAAAACAAGAACCCCCACCAUCAACGAUCAGCCAGUGCAGCUGCUGUCUGCCCUGGUAGCUGGUUUUGGUCUAGUUUUGGCGAUGCAAUUGUGGAGAGAAACUGUUGCAUGUUUUAGUCUAGUUUUGCUCUGUUUUGGCCAAACUGAAGCAGAACUCAUAACAUCCCAACGCCUGGAGCCUGUAAGGUAGGUUCUUCUGCUGCAUACCAAGGACAGACCAUCGACGAGGGACACUGCAGGUUAGUUUGCGUUUAAUUUGCUUUUGGCUUCUGCUGG